rnacentral:rRNA from 1 species
AUUGAACGCUGGCGGCAUGCUUUACACAUGCAAGUCGAACGGUAACAGGCCGCAAGGUGCUGACGAGUGGCGAACGGGUGAGUAAUGCAUCGGAACGUGCCCAGUCGUGGGGGAUAACUGCUCGAAAGAGCAGCUAAUACCGCAUACGAUCUAUGGAUGAAAGCGGGGGACCGUAAGGCCUCGCGCGAUUGGAGCGGCCGAUGUCAGAUUAGGUAGUUGGUGGGGUAAAGGCGCACCAAGCCAACGAGCUGUAGCUGGUCUGAGAGGACGACCAGCCACACUGGGACUGGGACACGGCCCAGACUCCUACGGGAGGCAGCAGUGGGGAAUUUUGGACAAUGGGGGCAACCCUGAUCCAGCAAUGCCGCGUGCAGGAAGAAGGCCUUCGGGUUGUAAACUGCUUUUGUACGGAACGAAACGGUCUGGGUUAAUACCCUGGGCUAAUGACGGUACCGUAAGAAUAAGCACCGGCUAACUACGUGCCAGCCGCCGCAGUAAGAC